GCCCGGCUAGCUCAAUCGGUAGAGCGUGAGACUCUUACUCCUGCUAGAAAGGAAACUUUCAGGGUAGAAAAAGACUAUCUCAAGGUUGUGGGUUCGACCCCCACGUCGGGCU